CUACGGAGGGAGCGAGCGUUAAUCGGAAUUACUGGGCGUAAAGCGCGCGUAGGCGGCUUUGUAAGUCGGAUGUGAAAGCCCUGGGCUUAACCUGGGAAUGGCAUUCGAUACUGCAGAGCUAGAGUAUGGUAGAGGGAAGUGGAAUUUCCGGUGUAGCGGUGAAAUGCGUAGAUAUCGGAAGGAACACCAGUGGCGAAGGCGACUUCCUGGGCCAAUACUGACGCUGAGGUGCGAAAGCGUGGGGAGCAAACAGGAUUAGAUACCCCGGUAGUCC
rnacentral:rRNA from 1 species